UGGUCCCACCUGAUCCCAUCCCGAACUCAGAAGUGAAACACCUUUGCGCCGAUGAUAGUGUGGGGCUUCCCCAUGUGAAAGUAGGUCACUGCCAAGC
rnacentral:rRNA from 1 species